GAUGAACGCUAGCGGCAGGCCUAAUACAUGCAAGCUGAACGGUAAAUGUUGUAGCAAUACGAUAUGAGAGUAGCGUAAGGGUGCGUAACACGUAUGCAAUCUACCCGCAACAGGAGGAUAGCUCCCCGAAAGGGGAAUUAAUACUCCAUAAUAUCACGAGAGGGCAUCUGAUUGUGAUUAAACUCCAAGGGGUUGCGGAUGAGCAUGCGUCUGAUUAGUUAGUUGGUGAGGUAACGGCUCACCAAGACGAUGAUCAGUAGGGGAACUGAGAGGUUGAUCCCCCACACUGGCACUGAGAUACGGGCCAGACUCCUACGGGAGGCAGCAGUAGGGAAUAUUGGUCAAUGGGUGAGAGCCUGAACCAGCCAUGCCGCGUGCAGGAAGAAAGCCUUCUGGGUUGUAAACUGCUUUUGCCAGGGGAUAAAAUACCCGUGCGUGGGGAAUUGAAGGUACCUGGUGAAUAAGCCACGGCUAACUACGUGCCAGCAGCCGCCGUAAAAC
rnacentral:rRNA from 1 species